GGAUUUCGGGGCGGGGCCGCCGGUCUGCCGAUAGGUAUGCACUGGCGGGCGCGUCCUUUUUCCCGGAGACGGCUGCUACUCUUAACUGAGCGGUGGUCGGAGACGGGAUGUUUACUUUGAAAAAAUCAGAGUGUUUCAAGCAGGCAGUCGCUCUUGCAUGGAUUAGCAUGGGAUAAUGAAAUAGGACUCUGGUGCUAUUUUGUUGGUUUCGAGCACCGGAGUAAUGAUUAACAGGGACAGUCAGGGGCACUCGUAUUCCGCCGAGAGAGGUGAAAUUCUCAGACCAGCGGAAGACGAACCACUGCGAAAGCAUUUGCCAGGGAUGUUUUCACUGAUCAAGAACGAAAGUUAGGGGAUCGAAGACGAUCAGAUACCGUCGUAGUCUUAACCAUAAACCAUGCCGACUAGGGAUUGGAGGAUGUUCCAUUUGUGACUCCUUCAGCACCUUUCGGGAAACUAAAGUCUUUGGGUUCCGGGGGGAGUAUGGUCGCAAGGCUGAAACUUAAAGGAAUUGACGGAAGGGCACCACCAGGAGUGGAGCCUGCGGCUUAAUUUGACUCAACACGGGGAAACUUACCAGGUCCAGACAUUGUGAGGAUUGACAGAUUGAGAGCUCUUUCUUGAUUCGAUGGGUGGUGGUGCAUGGCCGUUCUUAGUUGGUGGAGUGAUUUGUC
rnacentral:rRNA from 1 species